CAGUUUGUUAACUUUGAGCUCCUGUGGUGUAACCAGCCGCCCUUUAGUGAGAGAGAAUUAGUCUGUUUAGCAGAAGGCAUCACAUCCCUCUGCUUAUCUCCCAUGCUGCUGCUCUCCCCAGCAGCCGCACGCCUUGGUGCCUGCUGUCCCACACGUCCGGGGCUGCUGUACAGAGCACUCCUUAUACAGACGUCUCUUGGCAUGAAGGCGCUCCCCGGGAGCAGGACUGUAGAUUGAAAUGCUGCCUUCUUGGAAUAAGCAAAUGCCAGGGGUUUAUUUCCUAUUAAGCUAGCAGAUAGUUUGUGCAUUUAGCUGCAGUUUGCUGUCUCCAAACAGAUAAGGGUGGAUACUUGUUGUUUUCCUUCCUCUUUAUAUUUCCAGCCUGGGAAACAGCAAAAAGUUUGUGCAAAAGCAACAUCUGUGGGAGAGAGAGAGAGAAAAGGAUGAGGCGGGCUGGCUGGGCAGCCAGCCUCAGGAGAUGGUGAGACAGAAGAGCUAUUCAUUGUGAGAGGCAGUUGCUCCUCACCCUGCUAGACUAUAAAUUGGACACCUUAUUAAGAGCUGAUCCUCCAACAGCCCCACCCCAGGCUGUGCUCACGCUCCAGACUAGAGGAACAUAAUCCCAUUUCUCUCUGGGUGCCUGCUGUUGGGUGAGCACAUGUGUGAGCGGGACAGAGGACACGAGGCAGAAGGAAGCAGCACAUUUUUGGGUUCAACUUAGGAAAACAAGGCAAACUUUAAGGAGGGGACAGGGUGGAGGUUGGAUGGCAGUGAAGUUUGGGCUCUCACACUGUGAUGCUGUAGUUGCCUUACCAAAUAAUGAAACCAGUCUUACAUUUUUUCUUUUUCUUUUUUUUAACUUGUUUUCUCAGUUGUAACUUAAAAAUGCUGACUCACUGGCACUGUGUGCCAACACAAAUGUUGCUGCGGAAAUCAAUCAUCGUGAGAGCCUGGUGAGAUACAACUCCACAGUGUCAUGGGCUUUGAAUGGGCCUCCAAGUUUCUUCUUCAGACAGUUGGCUUGGUAACUCCCAUCGUGUCAGGUUUUUCAGAUCCAAAAACACAGAACUGCUGGAGAUUCCUUGACGUGUAUACAGGCAAAACAGAGCAAGAAAGAAUCCCGUUCAUCCUUGCUGGCCAUUCUGUUUCUGAACUGGGCCAGAAUGAAGCAUCCUACCUUAACAACAGUCCAAAACUCUGCUGGAAUUUGGACUAG
rnacentral:lncRNA from 1 species